GAAGCUUUCUAGCAAAUUCAGCAUGAAGAAGAUGGUGAAGGAGGGCUGGAGAAACAGACCAUGGUGAUAGUUCUUUCUGGAGACACCUAACUGUGAACUUCUCCAGCUACUGAAAUAACGGGACAUCCCCCAUCUGAUAAUCUCCAGAGCACUGGGACUUUUGAAAAUAAGGAUCUGGCUUCACACAGAACAUUAAAGAUGCUGAAUUCCUUUCUUACAUCCUGUUCAUCACUUGGCUUGCUGUUAAUAGUAUUUAUCCUGGUUAUCUGUGCUUAGCCUAGGGGCUUAAAAAAUCCUGGAAAAAAAUGGAAUGGAAGUGUCACAAACAUUACAGUCCCAGAUAUUUAGAACUCGCACUUUCGCAAUUGCAUAGAAAUGCCAUGUUUAACUUCUGAUGAAACCUUGAAGACAUC